ACUGGACAGCCCUGACUAUCCCUGAGCAACAUCUAAUAAAAAGAGAAAGCAGAAAAGGGGGACUGCUGGCACUAUAGCAAACAAACAUAAUGCAACCAUGUUUUUUAUUCAGGGAGUGACCGGAAUCUUAGCAGGAGUCACAGGCCUGGUGGUGUUUAACAGGGAACAAC
rnacentral:lncRNA from 11 species